rnacentral:lncRNA from 1 species
UCAGCGUUCAACUAUCCACUUUUCCCUUAACUUACUCGUAUCUACUUUCAGGCAGAGAUGUCAGCAGCUGAUGGUGCGCUCGGGAGGAAAGACUCGCUCGUCGUCUUGAGGAAGCGGAUGCAAGGGAAAGAUGUGAACGAACCAUCGCACGUAAACAUCAACACUGUGCUAGGCGUGGCCGCGACGCUCCUGCUGACUGUCCUCCUGAUCGUCUACAUUGUCGCUGGCGGAAAGCACGAGGCACUGAGUACACCGGGAGGUAAG